rnacentral:rRNA from 1 species
CCUACGGGUGGCAGCAGUAGGGAAUCUUCCACAAUGGGCGAAAGCCUGAUGGAGCAACGCCGCGUGGGUGAAGAAGGUCUUCGGAUCGUAAAACCCUUUUGUUAGAGAAGAAAGUGCGUGAGAGUAACUGUUCACGAUUCGACGGUAACUAACCAGAAAGCCUCGGCUCACUACGUGCCAGGAGCCGCGGCAAUGCGUAGGUGGCAAGCGUUAGUCGGUUUUAUUGGGCGUGUAGGGAGCGCAGGCGGUCUUUUAAGUCUGAUGUGAAAGCCUUCGGCUUAACCGGAGUAGUGCAUUGGAAACUGGGAGACUUGAGUGGAAGAGAGGAGUGGGGAACUCGAGGUGUAGCGGUGAAAUGCGUAGAUAUAGGGAAGAACACCAGUGGCGAAGGCGGCUUUCUGGUCUGUAACUGACGCUGAGGUUCGAAAGCGUGGGUAGCGAACAGGAUUAGAUACCCUGGUAGUC